rnacentral:lncRNA from 1 species
UACUACGAUUUCAAUUUGGGUUAGUCUAUGGUACCCUUUAAUAAAAAAGUACCAGUAUCAUUCAAGUUCAACGUUGCUAGUAUAAUGCAAUUACGUUCAAGUAUAAUAUCAAACAUUUACAGUGUAAUAUAAGGUUUACAACGUAAAGACCAACUUUGGUAUAUUAAUUAAUACUAACAUCAUUACAUGGAAUUAGGUUUAACAAUAAGAUUAUUAUGUAACUUUGGAGUGUGAAUUUGAACAAUAUAGUGCAAUUUACACCUUUUCGUAAUUCACACAUUGAAUGCU